rnacentral:tRNA from 1 species
GGCAGAGGUAGCCAAGCUAGGAAAAGGCGCAGGACUUAGGAUCCUGUUCUUAGCGAUUCUAGGGUUCGAAUCCCUACCUCUGCACC